UACGUAGGUGGCAAGCGUUGUCCGGAUUUACUGGGCGUAAAGAGCGUGUAGGCGGUUCGGUAAGUCGGCUGUGAAAGUCCGGGGCUCAACCCUGGGAUGCCGGUCGAUACUGCCGGACUAGAGUUCGGAAGAGGCGAGUGGAAUUCCCGGUGUAGCGGUGAAAUGCGCAGAUAUCGGGAGGAACACCAGUGGCGAAGGCGACUACCUGGCCUGUUCUUGACGCUGAGGCGCGAAAGCUAGGGGAGCAAACGGGG
rnacentral:rRNA from 1 species